ensembl:lncRNA
GUUUUCCUCACUGGCACUUGCUGUUCAAAGUAAAAAGUUCAAUGUGAUCUUCCUCUUUCUGUUUAGAAGACAGCAACCUCAGUGAAGCUUGUCCUGAGAAUCCACGAAAGGAUACCAUGUUUCUAGAAGAUAGCAGAGCAACAAAAUGGAAGGAGCUUGUUUCGAUGACUGGUCCAGUCCACAGACAUAGUCAAGUCUCCCACUGGAAAUCAUGUUUCUGAGGAAGUGGCUUAGCGAAAGAAUCAUCUUUCCCUAUACGACUUAGAUGAAACUCACAGAUGACCCCUUUGUUUACCUAUGAUAAGGAAGGGGGAGGUAGAAAAGCAGGAGGAGAACCAUAACAAGAGAAAAAAGCGCUCCAGUCUCCGCUAUACCGGCAGGAAGCACUUUCAGCUCCAGUUUUAAGAAAAUUAAUUUUGAACACCUGGAGAGAUUGAUAAAAGAAGCCUCCCGGAUGUGAGAAAUCUGCUUUAGCAAAUAUGUUCUAUAUAUAUUUGAGACACAUAAUUGCAAACAUCCAAUAGCAUAACAACAAUUAACUAGAUACAUACAUUUUGGAAGGAGAAAAGACAUUGAAUACAAAGAUAAACAAUUAGUUAAUGAACUCCCUCUGCUUCAUUCAUACACAAUCAGGAGUAAAUGUAACAAAUUGGAAGGCCAUUAGAAUGAGUAACAAUUGUAAUUGUACAAAUUAUAGCCAACUGACAGCUGCAUUUCCUUAUCUCCCAUUCCCUGUCUCUAGCUGUUUUUCAUGUUUUUCCCCUUCUUAUCACUUGGAUUUAUAGACCUUAAAAAUCUCAGAAGCAUAAGAUAUACUAAGACAUUAAAAAUAUAAAGACCUGGGAGUGAUGUCAGCAAGACAGUAGAAUAGGAGAUAUGAGGCUUCAUAGCCCCACAGUAACACGGAUUUGACUAUCCAUGGACAAAUAUACCUUUAUGGGAGCUCUAGAGUCCAUUUGGGAGGCUCCAGUAUCCCAGUGGAGCACAAAAUGUGAGAACGGCCACAUUGCAAGAGUAAGAAUAGUUUCACUUUAUCAGUGAUAUUACUUCACUACCCUAGCACAGCUCAGCGCUAAGAGAGACCCCUCCAGCUGCAAUUUUUCCCACAGUGGAGAGAGCUAUGUGAACAUCUGCCACCUCAGCUUUCGGGGCACUGCUUCAGAGGCCUGCUUCUGCAUCACCUGACCCAUAACACUGAAGGAGCGGCACAAUUAGAUCUUCUGGGGGCAGGUAAGAACAGAGCAAAGAGGUGGGUAUUCAUAGCAACUGGCACAUGGAUCUCAACAACCAACCUGUAGACCCUGGUGGCCAGUCCCCACAAAUACAUAUACACCCAACAUCAGAGCACUUAAAUAUGUAAAGUAAACAUUGACAGAGAAAUAGACAGCAAUACAGUAAUAAUAGGUGAGCUCAGUAUCCCAAUUUCAAUAAUAGAUAGAACAUCCAGACAGAAACAUCAAUAAAGAAACAGCAGACUUGGAAAACACUAUGGACCAAUUGGACCUAACAGACAUAUACAAAACAUUCCAUCCAAAAGGAGCAAAAUAUACAUUCUUCUCAAGUAUAUAUGGAAUGCUCCACAGGAGAGAUCACAUGCUAGGUCACAAAAAAGUCUCAAUACAUUUGUAAAAAGUGAAAUCAUCCAAAGCAUCUUUUUCAACCACAAUGGAAUCAAAGUAGAAAUCAAUAACAUAAAGAACAUAAAGAAACUCACAAAUGCAUAAAAAUUUAAUGACACACUCUUGAAGAAACACUGAAUAAAAGAAGAAAUCAAAAAGGAAAUUAGAAAAUAACACAAAUGAAAAUAAAAAUGCAAUAUACCAAAACUUAUGGGAUGCAGCAAAAGCAGCACUAAGAGAAAAAUUUAUAACGAUAAAUGCUACAUUAAAAAAGAAAAAAGAUCACAAACAUACAAGUAGUAGAUAAAUAAGUCCUGGAGACUUAAUGCACAAUAUAGUGAAUAUAGACAAUAUCAUAUUAUAAUAAACUUGCUAAGAGACUAGAUCUUAAUUGUUCCUACCACCAAAGAAAGAUAAGUAUGUGACAUGAUAAAAGUGCUAACUAACACGACAAUGGCAAUCAUAACGCCAUAUGUAAAUAUAUUGAAUCAACAUGUUGUAUACUUUAAUCUUAUACAACGUUGUAUAUAAAAUAUACUUCAGUUAAAAAAAAAGAAGGAUCUCAAAUAAUCUAACUUUACACCUCAAGAAAGUAGAAAAAGAAAAAACAAAGUCCAAAGUUAGGAGAAGGAAAAAAAUAAGCAUUAGGACUGAAAUAAAUCAAUUGGAGAAUUGAAAAACAAUAGAAAACAAUGAUGAAACUAGAAGUUGGCGUUUUUUUUGCAAAGAUGAGCAAAAUUGACAAACCCUUAGCUAGACUACCUAAGAACAAAAGAGAGAAGACUCAAAUAGAUUGUCAGAAAUGAAAGAAGACACCUUGUAAUCAAUGCGACAUAAAUGAAAAAGACCAUAAGAAACUAUUAUGCACAAUCAUACACCAACAAAUUGGACAACAUAGAAGAAAUGGAUAAAUUCCAAGAAACAUAUAACCUACUAAAACUGAGUCAAAAAGAAAUAGAGGCUUCUUCUAUCUUGCCUGAUAUCCCCUGGGCCUUACCGUUAUCUGCAACAAGUUGGCAGAAGCAUAAGGAGAAUAUAAAGAAGGUUACCCCACUUCUUAAAAGCCCUGACCUAGAAGGAAAGAUGUCAUUUACGCUUAUAUUCCCUUGCUGAGAACCAGCCACAUGGUCACACUUACAGGCAAGCGUAGCUGUAUUCACAAUAGCCAAUAUAUGGAAACAAGCUAAAUGUCCAUCAAUGGAUGAAUGGAUAAAGAAGGGUAGUGUAUAUAUAUAUAUAUAUAUAUAUAUAUAUACAUAUGCACAAUGGAAUAUUAUUCAGCAAUGGGAAAGAAGGAAAUCCAGCCAUUUUAGGCAACAUGGAUGGACCUUGAAGGCUUUAUGCUAAGUGAAAUAAGUUAGACAGAGAAAUACAAAUACCAAGUAUGAUAUUACUUAUAUGUGGAAUCUAAAAAAGCUAUACUUAUGGAUACAGAGACUAGAAUGGUGGUUCCUAGGGGCUGGGAGGCAGGGGAAAUGAGGAGAUGUUGGUCAAAGAGUACAAACUUCCAGUUAUGAGAUGAAUAAGUUCUGGGAUCUAAUGUACAGUGUGGGGAUAGUAGAUAAUAAUACUGUAUUAUAUACUUGAAAGUUGCUAAGAGAGUAAAUCUUAAAUGUUCUCACCACAAAAAAGAAAUGUAAUUAUAUGAUGACGUGAUGGAGUUGUUAACUAAUGCUAUGGUGGAAAUCAAUUUGCAAUAUAUGAGUGUAUCAAAUCAACACGUUGCAUAUGUUAAACUUACACAAUGUCAUAUGUCAAUUCUAUCUCAGUAAAGCUGGAACAAAACAAAAUGAUAAGGCCACCCACAGAAUGUCAUAAAAUAUUUGCAAACUCUGUAUCUGUUAAGGGGUUAACAUCUUUAAUAGCAUUUAGAGGACUCCUAAAACUCAACAACAACAGCAAAGCAAGCUGAUUUAAAAAUGGGCAAAGACUUGAAUAGACAUUUUGCCACAGAAGAUGUAUAAAUGGCUAAUAAGCACAUGAAAAGUUGCUCAAUAUCACUUAUGUUAAGAAAUUCAGAUCCAAACCACAAUAAUAUACCACUUCAUAUCCAUUAGGAUGGUUACUAUCAAAAAAGCAGAAAACAGCAAGUGUUGAUAAGGAUGUGAGAAACUGGAACCCUUGCACCCUGUUAAUGGGAAUGUAAAAUGGUACAGCUGCUGUCAAAAACAGUAUAGCAGUCCCUCCAAAAAAUUACAAAUAGCAUUAUUUUACAAUACAGAAAUUCCACUUCUGGGUAUAAUAUCAAAAGAAUUGAAAGCAGAAACUUGAAAAUAUAUUUGUACACCCAUGUUCACAGCAGCAUUAUUUGAAAUAGCCAAUAAGUGAAAGCAACCCAAAUGUCCACUGAUGGAUGAGUGGAUAACAAAUUGUGAUAUAUACAUACAAUCUAAUAUUAUUUAACCUUAGAAAGGAAGGAAAUUCUGACGCAUGCUACAAUGAUCCUUAGAGACAUUAUGUUAAGUGAAAUAAGCCAGUCACAAAAGCACAAAUAUUGUAUGAUUCUACUUAAACCUAGAGUAGUCAAAUUAUAGAGAUGGAAGAAUGUUGGUUGCCAGGGACAAAAGGUGAAAGAAAUGGGGAGCGACUUUUGAAUGAGUACAGAAUUUCAGUUUUGCAAGAUGAAAAGAGUUCUGUGGAUGGAUAGUGGUGAUGGCUGCACAACAGUGUGAAUGUACUUAAUGUCACUGAACUGUACACUUAAAAAUGGCUAACCUGCAGGGCUGGCCCCGUGGCCGAGUGGUUAAGUUCGCGCACUCCGCUGCAGGCGGCCCAGUGUUUCGUUGGUUCGAAUCCUGGGCGCGGACAUGGCACUGCUCAUCAGACCACGCUGAGGCGGCGUCCCACGUGCCACAACUAGAAGAACCCACAACGAAAAAUACACAACUGUGUACUGGGGGGCUUUGGGGAGAAAAAGAAAAAAUUAAAUCUUUAAAAAAAAAAAAAUGGCUAACCUGGCAAAUUGUCGGUUAUGUGUAAUUUACCACAAUUAAAAUUUUGCAGCACAAUUUGAAUGGGAAGCUUUUGUUUCAUUUUCUCUUUCCUCAUUCUCUCUGUCAUGAGUCAGUUGAGUGAGCGAGUGAGUGACUUUGUGCUCAGACUUUUUAGUGAUUGUCUCUUAUGUCUCCCUCCCCAGACCAUAAGUUUAGAAACGGAGUCUUGGUGGCAGUGGAGGAUUUCUGUCUUGUGUACUAAGUCUGUGGAAAUCUUGGUUCAGCUCUUGAGAGUGGCACUGCCUG